CUCUGCCCCUGCAGACAGACUGCCCUGGUUUGAUUCAUGGCUCUGUCACUCUGUGGCUAAUGUAUUUGUGCAAAUAAAUCCUCUGCCAUUGUGACCAGUUCAUGAUGGGAAUAGGGAUGGAUAAAUAAGAAACUAAAAGAAAUGGCUCCCUAUGGACAACGAGAUUUUACAUUCUGGAGAAAAUUCUGUUUUCUACUGAAAGCAACCAGGGUUUCUUGGAAAUACGGCAAAUUCCAAGGCUGCAGCAGGAAAUAAUGAGAUGAGCCUGACAUACCUUAUCUAUCAGAAAAGAAACUCCUAAAAGCAUUCAAGUGCCAACUUGACGCAGUUCCCAUGUGCACAAAUGUGAACAUCUGAGCUUCCGUAAGGUUAGCAAGUAAAUGAUUUGAAACACA